rnacentral:rRNA from 1 species
AUUGAACGCUGGCGGAAUGCCUUACACAUGCAAGUCGAACGAUGAACCUUAGCUUGCUAGGGAAUUAGUGGCGAACGGGUGAGUAAUGUAUCGGAACGUAUCCAAUAAUGGGGGAUAACUAGUCGAAAGAUUAGCUAAUACCGCAUACGUCCUACGGGAGAAAGCUAGGGACCUUCGGGCCUGGCGUUAAUGGAGCGGCCGAUAUCUGAUUAGCUAGUUGGUGGGGUAAAGGCUCACCAAGGCGACGAUCAGUAGCUGGUCUGAGAGGACGACCAGCCACACUGGAACUGAGACACGGUCCAGACUCCUACGGGAGGCAGCAGUGGGGAAUUUUGGACAAUGGGCGAAAGCCUGAUCCAGCCAUUCCGCGUGAGUGAAGAAGGCCUUCGGGUUGUAAGGCUCUUUCGCAAGGGAAGAAAACUUAAGCUCUAACAUAGCUUGAGGUUGACGGUACCUUGAUAAGAAGCACCGGCUAACUACGUGCCAGCCGCCGCAGUAA